CAUCUGACCUUGAGGCGUAGUUGCUUGACCAUGUUCAGUUUUCAUCUGACCUUGAGGAGUAGUUGCUCGAUCAUGUUCAGUUUUCAUCUGACCUUGAGGAGUAGUUGCUUGACCAUGUUCAUUUUUCAUUUGACCUUGAGGAGAAGUUGCUGACUGGAAAUAAAGAUAUACAACUUUGUCUCUUCUGUUAUAAAUAACUGAAUAAAAUCUGUAAAAAGAUAUUUCAGAAGCAAAGAAUGCAACCAAGAAAAAUAAUAGCAGACUCGGUUCAGGGCUUUUUUCAGUCACUUUUAUAGCCAUUAUUGGGCUCUGUUCCCAAUGUCAAAAAGUAUGUUUUUUUCCCAAUUUUGAAAAAAAAAAUCCCAAUUUCAUAAGAAAAAUAAAGUUUGAAUUCUAAUAGGAAAAACAUUUGUACAUGUCAAGUUUCAUUACCAGUAAAGUCAAUGUAUUAUCUAUCUAUCUUCCUUUAAUGUCAAACCCCUAACGGAGACGUAGACAUGUUCAUCCUCUACUAGUACAGACAAAGAGCGAUCUGACCAGAGGGAAAGAGUGAGAUAAAGCCCCCAGAACAUAGGGAGAGAGAGAUAUUAAUAAGACCUGAUGUUUAAUAUACCAGGCCGGUGAAAUUGUCCGAUCGAGCUUUCGACAUAAGAAUUUAUAUUUCUUCAAAAGUCGUGAAGAUAUUUGUUUAAAACUUGGUCAAAAUAUUUCCCUUGUAGUUAUAAGAUUCUGUCUGAACAAGUAAGCUAAUGUUCAAGUCAGUCUGAAUAACCAAGAUAAACGAAGGUCCUUUAUUACAGAUUGAUGUAUGUUACACUGAUUCUUACUGAAGUAGCCAUGUAAAGUUGCAGUUUGCUAAGUGUGCUUACCCGGCAAAGCGUUCCAUUUCGAUUGCUAUCAUCAAAGACCUCAACUGUCUGAAGAUGGUGUAUGUGCAAACAUGGUAAAGUUCCAGAUUGAACUUUGAUGGUGUCCACACCUGGAAGAUUUCUUAAAUCUAAUUUUGAUAAGGAUCUUUCAAAAGAUAUCCUGCUAAUUUCAUCAUUUAAAUUUCCAUAAACAAAUGUUUAUUCCACGUUGGGAUCAAACACACCACUAUCGCAAUACAGGAGAAUCGUGUAUUGUUCAUCACAAAGAUUUUGCAAAGAAAUGUUUGCCAUACAAGAUGAAAAUGCUGCUAAAAUGAGUCCAAUUUUGCACCACAUUUUAAGGCGUAGUUAUAAAACAGACCGAAUAUGAUUUAGUAUUUGAAGAGUAUAAAGGGAGAUAAUCAAUAAUCCUUACUAAAUGCCAUUUCUCUUACCCGGUGUUUGUCUAGUAAUAGGUUAAAGUACACUAAAUUUUUCUACGUACCUCAACAGCACCAUUCUUCGUGCUAACCUGUAGAACUUUGUAUGUAAUGAAGUUCUGCUAUCAACUAUCAGCAAUAAUCUUAUUAAAAUAGCAUGUUAAAUGGUAUUUUUCCUAUCUUUAAAUGUUUAAGACUUAUAUCCUACGCAAGUGUGUACACAAAAUAAUCGUUUAUCAAAUUUUAUGAAGUACAAUCUGAUUUAAACUAGCAAGCCAUUUCCCAUGUUGAAAAACAAAAAUAGGAGACAACACAUUAACCGCAGGAAUGCGCUGACAGAGCAGGUGUGUCGAGUAAACAAGUUCAUUUAUCAAACUUUAUCUGAUUGAAAUGACAAUUUAUAAAUAACGAAUUUCCUGUCUUUUUAAACAUAGUGACGUCACUUAAACCACAAAAAUGUGCUGACAGAGCAGGUGUGUCGAGUAAACAAGCUCAUUUAUCAACAUUUAUCUGAUCGAAAUGACAAGUUUAAUGACACGUUUCCUGUCUUCAAAACAAAUUUUUAGACAUCAUGUCGCCUUAAAAACCACAAAGUUAAUAGGGUGUAAAGCAACGCCUUGUGGUACUCCUCUAUAUAAAUGAAGCGAAUUUUCAGUCACUAUCGACAUUUAUGAUUUUACUCUCAACAGUAACUUUAUAAAAUGGAAGCAAAAUACGAUCAAGAAGGAUUUUUAUCAAAAGUUCGCGGUAGGUUUGGUUUUAGAAAAGACUCGAAAAGAAACAGAACUAUGGUCUCAUCCACAGUUUCCGCGAUAAUAUAUCAAUGGCGCAAAGAAGAAAUCGCACACCGUCAUUCUCAUCAGCUAGGUUAGACACAGAAAGAAGAUCGAUGUCCAAUUGUUCUCCAAUGGCCGUAACUCGUACAUUUGGCGUUUUAAACUUGUGACGUCGUGGCUUCUGCAACGGAAAUGCAUCUUGAUCGUUAAGCCACUGUUUUACGUAGCUGAUCGUGAUGUUCCGGGGUACUUUUUUUCUAGAACACUAAACAGCUUUUGAGCACCUGCAUGAGCGGCGGGAUUUUUCGCUUCAAAAUAAUAUCGUUCUAAAAUUUGGUCUUUCUUUUUAUCUUCCAUGUUUAAAUUGUGAAGAGGUUAUUUUCACACGAAUUACUCUGUUCGAGAUGUAAAAACGACCACUGAUAUGUAAUUGAAAUUUCACCUCCCGUUCUCCAGUGAUGAAUUCUUUUAUACACCUUCACAUUGUCAACUACAUACGUUAUCCAAUUGGUUACGCUAAUGGCGUCGAGGUUAAAGUUGCAGUGAUCCUUUUCAUUAACUUCAGUUAGGACAGAUCUAAGCUUUUCAAAAGUCUCUGAAUUAUUCAACCAAUUUCUUAUUUUCAGAUCGCUGUAUAAGGCAGAAUAGAAAUCUGUAGGUAAAACAGAGAACAACGCGAGCUCAUACAACUCAAAUUCCAGUAAGUGUAUUAAAGAAAUCCGAGGCUUUCUAGCAAAAUCCUAAUAAAUUCUUCUUCAUAAAUUAGGAGGUAACACGUCUCUAUUGUUAAAUUCCAUAAAUAGAUUCACUAAGAGAACUAACACAUGUACAAUGAUGUCCUUGAAAAAGAACGACGACUUUUUAUACGCCUAGUAGAAGCGAGAUCUUCCACCCUACGCGUGACUCAUGACCUAAAAAUAAUUGUCACGUGGUAAACGCGUCACGGGUCUGGGUGAUGAUUGCCCCACGAUGAUUGCUCCACGAUGAUUGCCCCUAAUUUUUCGACGUGUUUCACACGUGCACGAUGAUUUGCACCGCGAUGACUGCUCUUCCUACUUUAGCACUACUAGCAGAUCCAGAACUUUUUAUUAGGAAAACUAUGAAAAUUGAUUACACAUAAAUGACAAGCGCAUAUUUAAGAUUUUGUGUGUGUGUGUGUAUGUGUGUGUGUGUUCGUGUUUAACGUCUUUUUCAACAAUUUUUCAGUCAUAUAAACGACGGUGUCUGCUUGUAGCAGUGAGCACAACGCCCAACUUUAUAGUGCUGCCUCACUGGAAUAUCACGCCAUAGACACGUGGCAUGAUACCCCACCCAGUCACACUAUACUGACACCGGGCUGACCAGUCCUAGCACUAUCCUCUUAAUGCUGAGCGCCAAGCGAGGAAGCUACUAGUACCAUGUUUUAUGUCUUUGGUAUGACGCGGCCGUGGAUCGGACCCGCGAGCUCCCGCACUCGAAGCGGACGCUCUGCCACUAGGCUACCGAGGCGAUUUUAUCUAGUCUUGUUUGAUCAGAGUUAAAAAUUUAACCAGACAGAAAAUUAUUCGCAUCAAAUUACACAGAAGUCAGAGUCUGUCAUCUGGACAAAAGAGAGUUCAAAAGAAUUUUGUAAUAUGUGGUUUUCCGACAACUUAAUUUUUGACCCCACCUGACCUACUUUAUCUGUAAUCAACAUUUUGUGAUUCAACAAAAAAAGAAAUAUUUCUUGAUUUUAUAAAACUGCGGUUGUACUCAAGUUCUAAUACAUGACUAGUACGUGUCUAAAUUUUGUUUUUUCCUGAUCCAGGUUGAUAUCAUCUCAAUUUCAAAAACAAAAUUUCCUGAAAGAUCAACAUUGUACCUUCUACAAUGUUCUCAAGAGUCAAACAAUGAAAGCAGCUUUUGCAUUCUGUGCCUCUCCAACACAAAUUUCUUAAUUUCAACCAAUGUUUACAUCUACAGCAAAUAUUGUUGUCAAAUGAAAUUCCUAUUAAACAUCGUUUCAUACCUUUGUAGGAAUUCUAAGGUUGAAGACAUAAUAUACACUGAAUAGGAUGGAAAUAGCCUGUAGAUAACUGUCAUAGCGGCCAAUUACGUUAUUAUCUACAACAAAUGCAAACUCUUUUGUAACAAAACUGCUUUCUCUUGAAACACUUCUUGCAAAUUGUUGUCAACUGUUUAUUUCUGAUAUAUUAAAAUACAAAUAAUGCAAUCUUAAAGGGUUCACCUGCAUUACAACCCGAACCAACUUCUUCAGUUAAAACAGGUAUGCACUGUCCCAUACAGAGGCAGGGUUUAGGGCUUGAAUUUGGCAAAAGUUCCGGGAGACAGUUAAAAUGAUGUCUGAGAGAUAUUGCUAGUUAUUAUAUACCUAUGUAUUUCCAGCCUCAAUCAAUGUCAUGUGAAAGUUUUGCACGAAUGCGCAAGCUUGCUUCUAUGUAGGAAUUUUUAAUGUUCAAAAUAUACAUACAUACAUAUGUAAAAAUGUACCUCUUUCUUAGGUCUGUAGCGUUACAAUGUGCACAGUCAGUAGUUGAUCAUAAUGAACUUUAGUCAAAUAAUUGCAUGAUAAUGAGAAUAAAAUACGCUAUGUUGGACAGACAAAACUAAAAAAAAUGUAUCAAGUCAGUUUGGAUGUUUUCUGUGCAUCAAGCACAAGAUCAAACAUUGCCCAGAUGGCACUUGGGUUAUAAUCUAGGGAAUCUGAAACUGAACAAGAAGUCUGGGAUUUUAUUUGUGUAGUAGACACCAGUGUGAAGUGUUAUCUGGGAUUUUGAAGCACAAAACUGGAUACUGCAUACUGUAGAUUUCUGUUGACAGUUUUCCAGGGAAGUUUUCAGCGAAAUCAGUGUGUGCAAGGCUUCAUUUGUCUGCAUAUUUUCUUUGAGAUGCAGUGUAGUGAUCCAACUGGAUUUUAUAUUAAGUGUGUAUGUUUUGAAUCUUUGCAUUUCUGUGUCAAAAUUUUCAAAUAAAGAUCCGACAUUGUCCAGAACCUCUUCUUAUACAGUCACUAUUGCGUCUUUUUUCUCACCUUUUAUAUUCCUGGAUUCUUUCUUUGUCUGCCACUAACACCAUGAAAUUUUUUCAUUUUCAUCGACUUUACUUAUUCUUCUGAAGGCUUAUGUCUGCAUUUAUCACAUUUCCUGUUCAUGCAAUCUACACUUGUUAUGUUACAUGCGAAAAUUUUAACGGUAUCAUUUAAUCUCGUUGAUGGUAGAAUGUCUGCGCUGUAUAAAGCGUUCACUUAAAACUGCAUGUUUCAUGACUUUUACAAACACAUGUGUUUCUAUCAGUUUCCGGUGGUUGAUGCACCCAAAAUGGUCCUUAUCUGCUGCAUGAUGCGUAACAUAUCUUUAAACAGAAAUCUCUCAUGGAUUUUGUCAAUUCUAUCAGACAGAAUCCUUUUCUGUUUUUUUCAAUCCAUUGCUACUAACUGUUUCUUUCAUACCUGAGGUCAUUUUGCUGAUACCGUCCCUUUCAUAGAAGUUUCUUACUUGGUUUUUAAGUCUUGUAGUGAGGGAACCUUUCUUUGGGCGAGGUCUUCGUCACAGUAAAUAUCUUACUCUACAAUUUAUGCUUUCUUAAAACAAUAGGUCUGUUUUAGUACAGAACAAAAAGUCUUUACAGUAUGGAACAGAAGAAGUCUGUUUCAGUACUGAAUAACAUUGCAGUAUUUAGUCAAAAAAGUUAGAUACAGUUUCGAACAAAAAGUCUUAUUUCAGUAUAGAAAAAAUCAAUUUCAGUAUGGAACUAUACGUCUGUUCUAGUACUGAAUAGGAUUACUGUAAGUGUUUCAGUAUGGAAUAAAAAGCCUGAUUCAGUAUGGAACAACGUCAUGUUUCAGCACGAAAAUAUAUUUUAGUAGGGAACUAUACGUCUGUUUAAGUAUUGAACAGUAAGUAUUUUCUAGUAUAAAACUGUAAUUGUGUUUUUGUCUAAGAGUUCUAUUCUAGUUUAUAGGAAUAACUUUAAGCCUACCAGCGACAAGUGAUUCUGCCUUUGCGACAAAUGCAGAUGUGCAGUCUGAUCAUGGUCGGCAUUGUUCGCUAUUCAGUUAGUAAAUUUUCAGUGAACAUCCUUUUGAAUAAUAAAUGGCACUUCCCAAAUUAAUGAUGCACCAGUCAAUUUAGAAAUUUAGCAGGCUAAAGGAUAAGACUGUAUUAUAGAAUAAUAAUAGAAUAGUAAGUCUUGUUUCAGUAUAGACAGUAACAGGGAAAUAUCAGAAACAUAUUUAAGUAUUGAAAAUAUCCAUGGCAAAGUUUUCUUACAGAUUUUUAAGCUCGACUAGGGGAGUAUCUGCUCGCCCCGGCGUCGGCGUGAACGUAAGCGUCACACAAAUUUUAAAGUUUGCGUACCACCCCAAAUAUUUCAAAGUCCAUUGAGAUAUUGCUUUGAUAUUUUGCAUACUUGUUUACCAUCAUGACCCCAGUUUGUAAAAAGGAGGAGGCAACUCUAUCAAUCAUUUUGACUGAAUUAUGACCCCUUUUCUACUUAGAAUAUGCUUAUUGUAAUGUUAGAGUUUGCGUACCACCCCAAAUAUUUUCAAAGUCCAUUGAGAUAUUGCUUUGAUAUUUUGCAUACUUGUUUAC